rnacentral:rRNA from 1 species
UACGUAGGGGGCUAGCGUUGUCCGGAUUUAUUGGGCGUAAAGAGCGUGUAGGCGGCCAGGUAGGUCUGCUGUGAAAACUCGAGGCUCAACCCUCGAGACGUCGGCGGAAACCAUCUGGCUAGAGUCCGGAAGAGGAGAGUGGAAUUCCUGGUGUAGCGGUGAAAUGCGCAGAUAUCAGGAAGAACACCCGUGGCGAAGGCGGCUCUCUGGGACGGUACUGACGCUGAGACGCGAAAGCGUGGGGAGCGAACAGG